GAACUAAUGUGAAUUUUGGUGCUGCUCGAAUUAGCUACGUUAUAUGUAGUUAGUUUUAGUUUAGUUUAAGUAAUGGAAAAGAUUCGUGCACGCUUAAAUAUUGGAAACAAAGCAGAGCCUGUUAAACUGAGGAAACGAAAAUCCCAACUAUAUAGUGAAGAAGAAACAUGUCCUCUUGAUAAUGGUGUAUUGGGGGUCCAUGUCACUGUCUUCACUGUGGCAUUUCGUCUCAUCAACUGCUUCCUGGUCCAGACCAGCUUUGUCCCGGAUGAGUACUGGCAGUCCCUCGAAAUCGCACAUCUUAUGGUUUUUGAAUAUUCUUGCAACAAUAUUCUUGAGUUUAAGCAGUACCCUUCUAAUAACCUUUUUGUGGACAAUAGGCUGUGUAUUCUGCUAAAUCCUUAAUAACUUCACCUAUAGCUAUUUGACGUGGGAGUGGACAGCAGAUAUAAGAGGGUUCUCCUACCCUCUCUUCUUUGCAGCUAUAUAUAAGAUAUUGCACUUCUUCACCUAUGACGCAGUUCAACUCUUGUACCUCUGCCAGCUCUGUUCUUGGUUCACAUGGCACUGCUGCACUCGGACCGUGACCAACACCAUGGAGACCACACUCACAACUCUGGCUCUCUAUUACUAUCCUCUGCCUGGCUUUAAAACACACAACAGGUUGGACCUACACCUCUACACAACUCGAACAUAAAACCAUUUCACUUACUGUGCAUCUAAGUAUUUCCCAUUACACGGAAAGUUACAAAAUACCUUUACAAAAGUUAUACCUUUUA